rnacentral:rRNA from 1 species
GUAGAUCUGCAGAUUCGCCCUUAGAGUUUGAUCCUGGCUCAGAUUGAACGCUGGCGGCGUGCCUAACACAUGCAAGUCGAGCGGUAACAGGUGUAGCAAUACAUGCUGACGAGCGGCGAACGGGUGAGUAAUGCUUCGGAAUCUACCUUAUGGUGGGGAAUAACUAGCCGAAAGGUUAGCUAAUACCGCAUACGUCCUACGGGAGAAAGCAGGGGAUCGUAAGACCUUGCGCCAAAAGAUGAGCCGAAGUCGGAUUAGCUAGUUGGUAGGGUAACGGCCUACCAAGGCGACGAUCCGUAGCUGGUCUGAGAGGACGACCAGCCACACUGGGACUGAGACACGGCCCAGACUCCUACGGGAGGCAGCAGUGGGGAAUAUUGGACAAUGGGGGAAACCCUGAUCCAGCGACGCCGCGUGUGUGAAGAAGGCCUGCGGGUUGUAAAGCACUUUUAGUGGGGAUGAAAUGUGCAGGGUUAAUACCUCUGCAUUUUGACCUAACCCACAGAAAAAGCACCGGCUAACUCUGUGCCAGCAGCCGCGGUAAUACAGAGGGUGUAAGCGUUAAUCGGAAUUACUGGGCGUAAAGCGUGCGUAGACGGUUACAUAAGUCGGGUGUGAAAGCCCCGGGCUCAACCUGGGAAUUGCAUUCGAGACUGCGUAGCUAGGGUGCGGAAGAGGGAAGCGGAAUCUCCGGUGUAGCGGUGACAUGCGUAGAUAUCGGAAGGAACACCACUGGCGAUAGCUGCUUCCCUGGUCCAGCACCGACGUCAGGCACGAAAGCAUGUGGAGCAACAGGAUUAGAUACGCUGGCUAGUCACGCCAUCGACGAUGAGAACUAGACGUGAUGGGUUAGCACUCCAGCGUCGUACUACUGCGCUAAUCUCGGCUGGGGAGUACGGCCGCAGGUUAAACCUCACAGAAUUGACAUGGAUUCUGGACA